rnacentral:tRNA from 1 species
UGGGUAUUAGCCAAGCGGUAAGGCAUAGGACUUUGACUCCUAGAUGCGUUGGUUCAAAUCCAACAUACCCAG